UACAGAGGUAGCGAACGUUGUCCGGAUUUACUGGGCGUAAAGGGCUUGUAGGUGGCCAAAUAAGUCAGUUGUGAAAUCGUUCUGCUUAACAGAACAAUUGCUUCUGAUACUGCUUGGCUUGAGUGCAGGAAGGGAAAAUGGAAUUUCCGGUGUAGCGGUGAAAUGCGUAGAUAUCGGAAAGAACACCUGUGGCGAAGGCGGUUUUCUGGCCUGCAACUGACACUGAGGAGCGAAAGCUAGGGGAGCAAACAGGAUUAGAUACCCUGGUAGUCCUAGCUGUAAACGGUGUACAUUAGGUGUGGGAGAUUCAUUUCUUCCGUGCCGACGCUAACGCAUUAAAUGUACCGCCUGGGAACUACGGCCGCAAGGUUGAA
rnacentral:rRNA from 1 species